AGUAGUCCAGUGGGAUGACAUCUGGAGGGGCUAUGCUUUAGAUUAUUUAUAGAUGUGGGCAAUAAGAGCUACAUUUAUGUUGUCAGUGCUGUUUGCCCUCGUUUAAUUUCUCAAAUGACCUAAUUAUAUGUGUUCUCAAUAUGUCUUGGGAGGAAAAUAAUUGCUGAUACUGUCAAAGGCAAAAUGCUGAAUAUGUUUCAGUGCUUCUCACAUUCCAUGGCCUGAUUAUGGGCAUCAUUAAAUUACACGUUACCAUUCUUCCGGAACAUCGCAUUGAACAUGUCCUAAUGUUUCACAAUGAGAAGUGAAGCACUUCCUCUUACUUAAAAAGAAAAAUAUUUGAUUUUUACAGGAUGCCUGACACUAAUGCUUACUAUUCUGCUAUCUAUGAUGUCUUCACUUAUGGAUAUAUUUAUUAACAAGUACUUAUUAGCUAUUUAACAUUUCCUCUACUGAGUGUUAUUAAUUACAGAUGCUGUAUUAGUUUCCUAAGGCUGCUGUAACAAAUUACCACAAACGUGGUGACUUAAAACAACAGAAAUUUAUUCUCUCACGGUUCUGGAGGCCAGAAGUUCAAAAUACAGCUGGGACCAAAGGCAUCUCUAAGGAAGGAUACAGUCCUUGCCUCUUCCAGGGUUCUGUGCCUCCUGUUGGAAUGAGCUCACUAACCAGUGGAAACAAACUGUUUAUCCUUCUAUGAUGUUGCAACUGCCUGGGCUUUCUAAUGCGUCUUCAGAUUUCGGUUUGUACUCAGAACAAGUGAGAAAAGUUUUACAGCAACUCCACGAAACAAAGCAGACAGGCUCUCCUGAAGCCAAGGAGUUAUGAAAAAGGCAGGCAUCGCGCAUUGAAUCAAGUAUGCCAUUACCCUCACUCCCAUGAACCUGUCUUUCAGCACAAUCCAUGACAGCAAGAAGACAAAGGCUUUGUUACAACAGAACAGAGCGGAGACAUCCGUGGCCGUCAGCUUCUUUAAAGCCAGUAAAUAAAGGAAAGAAAAGAGAAGUUAAUAUCCAGGUACUGAUGGUGACACCUCUUGUCUUAUCUGACUCAUCGCAGCCAUUUUCAGUUCCAACCCAAGAUGAUGAUACUGACAAGAUGAUCAAGAGUCCCCAGAUGCCCUUCAGAACCAUGGACGUGCAGGACAGGCAGCGAGCCUUGAUUCUGUUUUCUUGGCUGCUGUUCUCAGAAUGAGUCUGUGUCCCAUCGUCUGCUGGAAACAGGAAAGGAAUACAAAUGUGAGGAAAGCAGGUUAUGAAACAGCAAUCAAAUAUAUCAGCUCCUUAAAAAAGAUGGAUGAAACCAAAGAGGCAGACAGUAGAAUUACCAGUGUUUUUCUUUUCUACCAUCAUUUGAAGAGACUGAUAACUUCGGCUCACUUUUUCUCUGGACUCUGUGCUCUGCACAAUACAGUAAGCAUCUGAGUCCCGAUCCAGUCCAUGAGGUUGCUCAUGCGGAUGUUAUGCUGUUUUCCAGUGUGCCCUUCCCUUGUAAGAGCAUUACACAUCCCAGCCCCCAAAGACUGGUCUUGGCCACAUGCCCUGCGCUUUCUAUUGAAUGUGAGAAGACAUGAGGCAUAACACCUCCCAUAAGAAGCCUUAGGAGGCAUCCCAAGGUCCUACCAGCUCUCUUGCUCUUCCCCUCUGUCAUUUCAAAGUAGAACGCCAAAUAGAAGGUGUUCUUUCUGUGUGGGAACAUGAGCAGAACCCAGCCAAAGCUGCUCUGUAUGCACCAACAUGAAAAGCGAGUGAGAAAUAAAUAUUCGUUUCCAUUUUCCUUUUUUUUUUUUUUUUACGUUAUAGCAAAUGGCCUGGUGCUGUGACUCAGGCCUGUCAUCUCAGCACUCUGGGAGGCCAAGGUGGGAGGAUCACUUGAAUUCAGGAGUUCAAGACCAGCUUGGCCAAGAAAGA
rnacentral:lncRNA from 1 species